GAUGAAGAACGCAGCGAAAUGCGAUAAGUAAUGUGAAUUGCAGAAUUCAGUGAAUCAUCGAAUCUUUGAACGCACAUUGCGCCCCCUGGUAUUCCGGGGGGCAUGCCUGUCCGAGCGUCAUUGCUGCCCAUCAAGCGCGGCUUGUGUGUUGGGCCGCCGUCCGCCUUCCCCCCCGGGGGGAGGGGGACGGGCCCGAAAGGCAGCGGCGGCACCGCGUCCGGUCCUCGAGCGUAUGGGGCUCUGUCACCCGCUCUGGAGGCCCGGCCGGCGCCCGCCGACCCCCAACCUUCUUCUAACCAGGUUGACCUCGGAUCAGGUAGGGAUACCCGCUGAACUUAAGCAUAUCAAUAAGCGGAGGA
rnacentral:misc_RNA from 1 species